GUGGGGAAUCUUGCGCAAUGGGCGAAAGCCUGACGCAGCCAUGCCGCGUGGAUGAUGACGGUCUUAGGAUUGUAAAAUCCUUUCACCGGUGAAGAUAAUGACUGUAGCCGGAGAAGAAGCCCCGGCUAACUUCGUGCCAGCAGCCGCGGUAAUACGAAGGGGGCUAGCGUUGCUCGGAAUUACUGGGCGUAAAGGGAGCGUAGGCGGACAUUUAAGUCAGGGGUGAAAUCCCGAGGCUCAACCUCGGAACUGCCUUUGAUACUGGGUGGCUUGAGUGUGAGAGAGGUGAGUGGAACUCCGAGUGUAGAGGUGAAAUUCGUAGAUAUUCGGAAGAACACCAGUGGCGAAGGCGACUCACUGGCUCAUUACUGACGCUGAGGCUCGAAAGCGUGGGGAGCAAACAGGAUUAGAUACCCGGGUAGUCC
rnacentral:rRNA from 1 species